CCCUCAAGGACCGAGUUUGGGCACCCCUGCUCAAAGACGAGGCAACAAAAGAAUCAAUCAGGCUCAGGAUUGAGCGCUAUCAGAGUGGAGCAGAUACACGGCAUGCAGUGAAGAUGGAACUCAUUAACCGAGAGCACAGUCUCUGAGAGGUAUAAAUCCAGAGGAAUGUCGGCGUGCCGUCUCUCGCACAUCAAGAGAAUCAAAUCCUUCUGAAAACCUGCAAUCCUUCCAAUGAACAAUGAGCUUUUGAUAUUUUCACCAGAGAUAGCAAUGGAUUAGAAUACUAAAAUGAAUUUGUGAUAUGCCGAUUAUCGUAAUUCAUUAAAGGCACAUCCACAUUGUAGCUGAUUAGCUACAAGUCCAAAAGAAGAUCAUUAAAAGGUAUUAACAUGACUGCGACAGAAAAGUAGAGAAUUGAAUAAACAAAAAAUUGGCUUAAGUCACUUUUAUUAAGCAUAAACCCAUCACUGGCUCACAGUCCACAGCAAUCCAUUUUACAAACGAGACUGCCAAUUUCAUCACCACAUGUUCAUUAAUGAUCCUUUUAGUAUCAUAUUCCAUAAUUUGC